GACGAACGCUGGCGGCGUGCUUAACACAUGCAAGUCGAACGGAAAGGCCCUGCUUUUGUGGGGUGCUCGAGUGGCGAACGGGUGAGUAACACGUGAGUAACCUGCCCUUGACUUUGGGAUAACUUCAGGAAACUGGGGCUAAUACCGGAUAGGAGCUCCUGCUGCAUGGUGGGGGUUGGAAAGUUUCGGCGGUUGGGGAUGGACUCGCGGCUUAUCAGCUUGUUGGUGGGGUAGUGGCUUACCAAGGCUUUGACGGGUAGCCGGCCUGAGAGGGUGACCGGCCACAUUGGGACUGAGAUACGGCCCAGACUCCUACGAGAGGCAGCAGUGGGGAAUAUUGCACAGUGGGCGGAAGACUGAUGCAGCAACGCCGCGUGCGGGAUGACGGCCUUCGGGUUGUAAACCGCUUUCGCCUGUGACGAAGCGUGAGUGACGGUAAUGGGUAAAGAAGCACCGGCUAACUACGUG
rnacentral:rRNA from 1 species